GCUUAAUUUGACUCAACACGGGAAACCUCACCCGGCCCGGACACGGACAGGAUUGACAGACUGAGAGCUCCUUCUCGACUCUGUGGGUGGUGGUGGAUGGCUCUUCUUAGCUGGUGGAGCGAUUUGUCUGUGAUUACUUCAGUAAGAGCUAACUCAGGUUUUCAGCAAUAGAGACACAGUCAAGGGUGUCCAGUUAAUUUUGUUUCAUUUUCAAUCUUACAGGUAUGUAUUAUCUUCAAAUAACCAUUCAUGCAGCUCAGACUAAGUUCACUCCAGCUUACAUCGCAUAAAGAGUGGAAAUUAGAAUUCACUCUUCAACUGAUACUGUGUUAACCAAGGACAGUUCUAGAUACUUCAUAUGGACCCUGUUGC
rnacentral:ncRNA from 1 species